UCAUAAAGCUAGAUAACCGAAAGUAACAAGAAUCCCAUUACACACCUGAAAGGCAUCACCCCACCAUGAGAUCUGUACUCUGUCCCUCUCCUCUUUUCCUUCCUAUGUCUCCCCCUCUCUCCUACUCAAUCUCUGCAUCUUAUUGCAAGAGCAAGCCACAAAAUGGCCUCCAUCACUGCUGAUAGAAAAGACCAGCCAUCCUUGAUGCCAGGGAAUGGAAAGAGUGAAGAAGGUCGGUUGUGUGGCUGUCGUCCUGAUGGUGUUGCCGCUCCCCUCCCCUUCGCUUCUCGCUUGCCCCCUUCCUCCUGUCACAAGAUGCAGUUUGCACAAAGCCACCAUCUUAGAACAUGCGGGCAUUAAAUGGAAGUGGAAAAUAAGCAGGCUUUUGGAGUCAAGUCAAACAACGUGAAAUCCAUUAAAGGGAGGAACGUUCAUACAGAUGGCUGAAGGAGUGAAACGGGUUACUUUAUUAUGCACGUGCCCCAACAUAAGAUAACAGCACUUUAUUUGUUCUAUAAUAUGACUUCAAACUUUGCAUUUGUGAAGCAGUUUUAGAGCCUUCAGUUCUAAUGGCUAUAUUUUUGCGAGCCAAGCAUGUGUAUGUGUGUGUUAAAAAAUAUGUGAGAAACUUAUGUCUUUCUUUGUACGGGUCAGGGUCAAAGUACUUAAGCUAACGAAUUGUGUAUUUGUACAAAUACGCUAGUUUGGAAUUCUCCAAGUCAUUUUUUUUUUAUUGGGGUAUUUCUAAUUCAAUGAGGUUUUGUAGAAAAUGUCAUUUUUAAAUGCCAACCAUUUUGGUACAUUUUGAUAAAAAUAAUCUUUAAGAGACAAUAUUGUGUGAAUGAUUAGGUUUAGCCUAUAGAUCAUACAAAUUUUUAACAGUUUAACAAGGCUGUCUUGGUACAAUCUUUAGCAUAAUGCACUUUAUAAAGCACAAAACGAUUUAUUUUAGUUCAAUAGUUUUCAAUAUUAAAGGACAAUGUAGUGGCCUGUGUAUAAUAUGUAUUUCUCCAACAACUGAUUACUAACUGAAAUUUAACAUGAAUUAUUAGAAAUAACGAGUGAGGCUCUGUAGAUUCUGCAUGUAUGAGUGUGAGACCCACGGCAGCAGUGAACGAUACUGCACUCUGAUUGGACAGCUCAGUGUGUUGUACGUAACACACUUGUUGGACAGAGAGCUGUUGUCUUUAAUUUCUAUGCAAUUGCGUUGGGCUUGCAAUCACCAGGAAGAGAAGGCAGAUCAGAGCAGCUAUUUAUGACUUACUGGUUAAGGUGAGGGGAAUAUUUAGCUGAAUAAAUAUGAAUAUUUAACUCCACCGACUCCAACUGACUGUGAAGUCACUGACCACUAAAAGCAUCUUCAACUAGCUUUUGUGUUUUUCAUUUUUGUUUCUUUCAGCACUCAAAAUAGAAACAAUUUUAAGGGGUAUUAAAUGCUCUCUAAAUGUCUCUCUGUAUUUUGUGUUACAAUCAAUCAUAGCUGAAGAGAAAAUUCAGUAUUGAAUAUGCAAAUGUUUUAAGAAUUAUUUACAAUUUGAAGAGACUUGUGCAAUCUAUUUUGUAAUUUUUUUUGACAAAUCAAGUAAUUGUGAAGACAAUGGAUCGAUGAAAUGAGGCCUUUUACUAUGCAAUUCUUUAACUUCUAUACUUUCCUGUGAUUAUCUAGAGUUAUGAUUUUCAGCUAGAGUACUGUAAUGAUAAUGAUAACGAUUAAAAUAAUAUUUUGUAAUGAUUUAGUUUAAUUCUUUCCCUUACUGUGAAAUGCAAAUGUGUAAUAUUUUUGUUCACCUUGAAAUAUUUUCUGUAUUGCCACACGUGCCUUUUAACAAUGUCCUGUUAUGGAUAUUAAUAAAAGUUUACUUUUAAAACAAA